rfam:Rattus norvegicus chromosome 2, whole genome shotgun sequence.
CCACCACUUAAACGUGGUUGUCCUUGCUUUGGAACGAAGAAAGUAAGUGCUUCCAUGUUUGGGUGAUGG